ensembl:rRNA 5S_rRNA 5S ribosomal RNA
GCCUAUGACCAUGCCACCUUGAACAAGCCCAAUUUCUGAUGUCUGAUCUCAGAAGCUAAGCAGCAUCGGGCCUGGUUAAAACUUGGAUGGGAGACCACCUAGGAAGACCAGUACCGUAGACA